rnacentral:rRNA from 1 species
UCCAGACUCCUACGGGAGGCAGCAGUGGGGGAUAUUGCACAAUGGGGGAAACCCUGAUGCAGCGACGCCGCGUGAGUGAAGAAGUAUUUCGGUAUGUAAAGCUCUAUCAGCAGGGAAGAAAAAAGACGGUACCUGACUAAGAAGCCCCGGCUAACUACGUGCCAGCAGUCGCGGUAAUACGUAGGGGGCAAGCGUUAUCCGGAUUUACUGGGUGUAAAGGGAGCGUAGACGGCAAUACAAGUCGGAAGUGAAAUACCCGGGCUUAACCUGGGAACUGCUUUGGAAACUGUAUGGCUGGAGUGCUGGAGAGGUAAGCGGAAUUCCUAGUGUAGCGGUGAAAUGCGUAGAUAUUAGGAGGAACACCAGUGGCGAAGGCGGCUUACUGGACAGUAACUGACGUUGAGGCUCGAAAGCGUGGGGAGCAAACAGGAUUAGAUACCCGCGUA